AGUGAACGCUGGCGGUAGGCCUAACACAUGCAAGUCGAACGGCAGCACAGUAAGAGCUUGCUCUUACGGGUGGCGAGUGGCGGACGGGUGAGAAAUACAUCGGAAUCUACUUUUUCGUGGGGGAUAACGUAGGGAAACUUACGCUAAUACCGCAUACGACCUACGGGUGAAAGCAGGGGAUCUUCGGACCUUGCGCGAUUGAAUGAGCCGAUGUCGGAUUAGCUAGUUGGCGGGGUAAAGGCCCACCAAGGCGACGAUCCGUAGCUGGUCUGAGAGGAUGAUCAGCCACACUGGAACUGAGACACGGUCCAGACUCCUACGGGAGGCAGCAGUGGGGAAUAUUGGGCAAUGGGCGCAAGCCUGAUCCAGCCAUACCGCGUGGGUGAAGAAGGCCUUCGGGUUGUAAAGCCCUUUUGUUGGGAAAGAAAAGCAGCAGGUUAAUACCCCGCUGUUCUGACGGUACCCAAAGAAUAAGCACCGGCUAACUUCGUG
rnacentral:rRNA from 1 species